rnacentral:lncRNA from 1 species
UUAUUGACUUGCUUAAAAACUUUAUUAGGAAGAAUUCUUACCAUUCUAAACAAAUCUUAUUUUGCCAAAAUUUAUUCAUCUGUCCAGAUUGAUAACAGCUUUGUGGGGGUUGGGGAAAGGAAGAGAAAAAAUGAACAUAUAUUAAAUAUUUAAUACCACAGUAUAUUGGACAGGGGUGGGAAAAAAGUGAGAAAUCUCUGAUCUUUAUUCAAAUUUUUCAAUGCUAGCUAGUAUUGUGCUUUUAUGUACUUAUAUACAAAUUAUGUGUAGCAAUUUGACAAAAUUUCUUGUCAGAUUUCUAAAAAUGCUCUUUUUCUUUGCAACACAAGAAGCUAACAUAACUAACCAAUAGUUUAGAUGACUUAGAAAGACUACAAAGAUAGCAAGAGAGAAACUGCCAGAAUCUGUAACAUUUUAAAAGUUGAUCAUUCAGUAUUGGAUUUUCAUUGUCAGAAAAGUCUUGAUACCAUACUUGAGGGUUUUCUGACUUGAUGCAAGUUUAAACUGAAAUGUUUCAUUGUUCAGCACCUCAGUUUGGCAAAAUAUAUUGCAUUAGAUAACCCCUUAACCCAAGCUGCCCUGCAUUUUAAAACAAAAACACCUAAAAACUAAUGAGGAACGAAGGGCAGAAGGAAGGAAGGAGGAAGGGAAGAAAACCUGUUUUGAACAGCUGUUAAAGACACACAUGACCAAAAUGAGUGAGAUUGGUAAUAUAAGAAAUUAUAAAAUUUUGAAGAAUAUCUAAACAAACAUAGCUGUCAAUUUAAGAGACCUUAUUUUUGCAUUUCCUAAUUUGCAUACAAGUGGAGGAGACACUAGAAGUUUGUAUUUGGAGACUUGAACAUUAACCUGCACAUCAGAAUGAAAAAUCCUCAGUCUAAUGUCAUGUUUUUGUAGAAAAACUUCAGUACAAAAAAAGGUUAUCAUAUGUCAUUAUUGAUACCAGAACAGUCGCUUUUCUUUUUCUCUACACUUUUUCAUUUUGUCUAAUGCUAACAAGCUUAACUAGAUUUUUCUGGCUGCUAGAAUAUUUCAAGGGCAAAAGCAUUAAUUUAAGUAUAUAUAAAAUGACUAAUUUAAUUUUAUAUAAUUUAAGAAAUAAAAAAUAAGAAUUUCCAUAUUAACAUCUACACUGCCCACAUUACAUGUUUAAAGCAAUAUAAUUAAAAACCUAAGAAUAAAAUAAUGUCAUCUAUUUGUAUUUCUUGAUUUCUGUAAUGUUUAGAUGGUUUACAUUAAUGUCAAGUUAAUAAUCCUUUUAUUAUUUUUCCUAGAGUAUUUUGCAAACCUUUUUAUUAAACACAAAAAGUAAAAGCCUAAGAGAACAAAAGUAGUUCUAUAUGACUUUGACUUUGUUUAUCCAGACUUGCUAAGAUGUUAAAAGAUUUUAAAAGUUUUUUAAAAUUGAAGGGAAAUCUCGCCUCUAACACUCAAGAGCUUUAUCAAUGGCAUAUUCUCAAAUAAUUACUUAAUAUGUAGAACCUGCUUCUAAAGUCUUAUGCUAUAUUUUACUUUGAAAUAUAGAAUCUAAGUUUCUUAUAUACGUGGUUUAAAUUCCAGAUAGUUAUUUAAUUUAUAUAGAGCUUCCCAUGUUUAACUUUUGGAAAUUAAAACCGUCAGUUCUGAAAGACCAUUUAAGCAUAUAUAUAGAAAGAAAAAUAAUAACUGGUAAAAUUCACUUUAAAGUAAACAGAAUUCUUUUCAGUCAUGUCUUUUAAGUUUUUAAUUUGUGAGAUAUAAAAUCUUGGCUCUUUAAUACAGAAUCUUUAUCUUCAGGGAUAUAGAACACAAAAAUAAUUCAAAAGCCUGUUGCUACAGGUUAAUCACUUGAAACAGAAGCUACAAAAUCUGAGUUGGUAUCUCAAUUCUUCCAUUUAUUAGCUCAAUCACAGUGUGCAAUCACAGGUAAAAUGGGAUUGAUGAGUUUUGUUUAUCUUAUAACAUUAUUCUAAGGAUUAAACAAAAUUAUGAUUUAAAAAGUGCUUUGUAAGCUAUAGGGCAUUAAGCAAAUUAAAAAUUUUUAAAUAAGAAUUUUAUCUAAGUAAGAAGCUAUGAUUUAUGCAAGAUAUUCUUAUCAUUGACUUUUGUAUCUAAGCCUAGUACCACUUAGGAAUCAUCGAUUUAACCAACAGGAAGUAGAGUGUCUUUCUGGUCACCUCUCUGACAAAUUAACAACCUGGAAAAAAAAUGAUCUACACUUUGAGCUGUAUUAGGGGGAGAGUGUAAUCACUAGGACAAUUCUUAAUACAAAGAGAGUGGAAACGUGAUUCUGAAGAGGGGAAAUAUCAAAGGUACUCUUUAUCAAGAGUGAAACUUUGAAAUCCAUCUAUUUAAGAUUAAUCACUAUUCUUUCAGUUAAGCUGUUGUCAUCUCUAACUUCCCCUGAGUAGAAAAUAAUCUACACUUCCAACUAAGUUAUUCAUGGUCCAAUUUGUUCUCAGAAUACUAUAAUAGGCUUUGUGAAGAUAAGUUUUAUAAUAGGGAUUUAACAUAGUGAGAAGCCAAGACACAGAGGCCUUCAAACACAAAGAGUAUAUAUAUAUAUACUCAUAUAUAUAUAUACUCAUAUAUAUAUACUCAUAUAUAUAUAUACUCAUAUAUAUAUACUCAUAUAUAUAUAUACUCAUAUAUAUAUACUCAUAUAUAUAUACUCAUAUAUAUAUACUCAUAUAUAUAUACUCAUAUAUAUAUAUACUCAUAUAUAUAUACUCAUAUAUAUAUAUAUAUAUAUAUAUAUAUAUAUAUAUAUAUAUAUAAACUGCUCUGUCCUUUCCCCCCUUCUUCUACCCUCCCAUUCCCUCUCCCAAAAGGAUAUUCACCCCUACUUAAAAAUCUAAUUUUUACGAAGGAUUCAGAUGAAAUGGCAUCUCAACAACUUCACAGUACAAUUGGUUUAGCCACUGCAGUGUUGCUUUUGAAGCCAUUUUCAACAGAGCUGGGAAAAGGGGAGAAGUCUGAGUAAAGCACUGGAAGAAGAAACACUGUGAAUGGUUUUAAGGAAGAAAAACAUUCAUAAUCUUUCCUCUUGGCAGUUCUGUCUUCUUGAUGGCCACAUUUACAUACUGAGUUCACAGGCUAGAACUCUCAAAGAGAAUUCUACUUUCCUAGAGAAAAUCAAACACUCACGGUGGCAUCCUGGGGGCGGGGGGGAAUGAAAAGGAAAUAAUCACUGAUGAUUUAUAUAUAUAUCAUAUUUAUUUUCCAAGUUUCUGAUAUCUUAAACUGUUGAAAAUACAUAAAGUUAUUCAGAGACACUUUUUUUUAAAAAAAUACCACGUGUACUUUAUUUUAGAGUAAUGAACU